CACUCUCUGAGGUCCCAGUCCUGGCUGAGAGGAGGCAGAGGUCAGUUGGCAGCGCCCUCAGCACUAGGUCCCCAUACCCUGCCCAGCUGUCAUCCCUGGAGGAGCCAGGCGCCCAGGAUCCAGCUGGCCCUCAGGCCACCCAUACAGCGGGGGCAGGUCCUUCAGACUGUGUCUCAGGAAGACGGCCACCACCAUUAGGUCACAGAGGCAGGGACUGGGGAGAGAUUCACCGCCACCUCAAGGCCUGAGCCAAGGCCAGAAGGAGGCCUGGUGAGGGUUAUGGAGCCCUGCAGGACACAGCCCCCAGCUGGGCCCCCCAUCUCACCCACUGAUCCAAGGCCCCAAGAGAGAAGGCCAGGAUUCACCUCUUAGCUCAUUCUCAGUCUGACAACCACCACUCUGCCAACUGUUUGCUGAAUGGACCACUAACGGUCGCUCAUUGACAGUCGGUCACUUAGGGCAGGAGCCCACUGCAAUGCUGACCAAUGGCUGAGCAGGACCACUAACGGUCACUCAUUGACAGUUGGUCACUUGAGGGAGGGGCCCACUACGAUGCCAACUAGUAGCUGAACAUGAAUACUCACAGUCCCCUGGUAACCAUUGGCUGGUCAGAGAAACCUGGCUGGCUACAGUCCGUGGGGUCACAAAGAGUCCGACAUGACUGAGCACACACUCACAAGUGGAUGAGGACGGUGAGGCUCAGAGAGGAUGAUUUUCCAAGGUGCAGGGGGACAAUAAGGUGUGACUCAAAAAUAACACAAGAAUUGUGAAUGAAAUUUAGGCAGAGCCUUCAAAUCCUGCAGUCUUCAAUCACUUUAAAGGAUAGUACUGGCCUCCACUGUCUUGUCACAUUACUCAUCUAUCAUCUGCCAAAACCACUUCAUCACCUACAAACCAAGUAACCAGGCAAGAGAGAGGUCGGCGUGAACUUUCCCACAUCAAAAGUGAAUCAGGAAGUAGUUUCAAACUGAAGAUGGAGAAGCUCUAUACAGUCAGCAAAAACAAGACCAGAAGCUGACUAAGGCUCAGAUCAUCAGCUCCUCAUUGCAAAAUUCAGGCUCAAAUUGAAGAAAGUAAGGAAAACCACUAGGCCAUUCAGUUAUGACCUAAAUCCCUUAAGGUUAUAUACCAGAGAUCUCUUCCUCAACCCUCCCACCAUCUACCAACCAAGAAGUUAAAUGCCUGGCACAAGCAGGAGACCGCCAGGACCUAUUUCAGGCCUCCUCCAACAUAAAUUGAUUCAUUCAUCAGUGUUCCUGCCAAUCAGUCCCCCCAGACUCGUGGAUUUUGUGUGGCCUUUGCCAGAGCAGUUGAAAACACCUGCAGGAAAAAAGGGCAUCUCUGACAGUGGCACCUGCUACUGAAUCCUGGACAUAACGGAGGCUGGCACAGCUCUAAAUUGAAUAAUACAAGCAUUACCGUUGAAAGCAACAACUUCAUGCUCUUCCAUCUCAUUUCUUCUUGUAACACGGAGUUAGUGGUGUUUAAAAGAAAUUUCUGUGAAGAAUGAAUAGCUAACUCACAUAAAAUGACUAUGAUAUUAUUGCCAGGCUUCUAGAAUGGGCACAAUAGAUGUUAAGUAUUAAUACUAUUAUUUAUGGAUGUUGUUUAUUAAUGCAAAAAGUUAGUUACUUCCAUCUAGACAAAAUCAUCUGAAACAGUUUCCAAAGUUGAAACCUGGAGUUUGUUAAUGUCUAAACUGAGAGGUUAUGGACUUUGCUCACAUGAUGAAGUCUAAGGGAUUGCUCUUCAUGGGUUAAAUUAUAUGCUCACCUCCAUUCUGACUCUGGGAUGGCAAGGCAUUGAUGCUUUGAAAAGGUUAAGGUAAGGUGAAGUCGCUCAGUCAUGUCCGACUCUUUGCGACCCCAUGGACUGUAACCUACUGGCUUCUCCAUCCAUGGGAUUCUGCAGGCAAGAAUACUGGAGUGGACUGCCAUUUCCUUCUCCAGGGGAUCUUCGCAACCCAGGUCUCCCGCAUUGGAGGCAGACACUUUAACCUCCGAGCCACCAGGGAAAAGGUUGCGUACAGCUACAGUAAACCUCAGCACUCCAUUUAUAAUAUUAAGAAGGACUCAGAGUUUGAGAGAAAUAUGGUUAAGUCAGAAUAUGUUCCCCUACCAAGACUAGAAAUGCUGAACCUCUCCUCCUAAGUGCUCAACAACUUUGAUUAAGGGGUGGAAGGCAAUUUUAAAAAUCAAGAACAGAAUGUAUAGCACAAAGUUCAGAGGUCAUGAAAAAAUGAGUGGCACAGACAGAAUGUGAGUUCAACAGAAAUGUGCCAGGCAGUGUGCUAGAUUUGGACAAUGCAGAAGUGAAAAAUAACAUCAAGAAGCAGGGCUUGAGUGAACAUCAGAGCUACUGACCAACCCAGAGACAGGAAUGAGGAUUCAAAUAAUCCAAUCACUAGGCUGGCUAUUCCUAGCCCCCUGAGUUGACAGCAACGUCAGCCUCAAGGGGGAAAGUCCACUGGUAUAU
ensembl:lncRNA